GUUCUGUCGAGUGGUUCGUUCUCUGGACAGUCAGGUUACUGAGACAUCUGGACCUAUUGUUUCAUCCGCACAGCAGCAUGGUGCAUCCUCUCAGUCAUUCAUUGAAGAUGGUCGUGGUGACUAUAUCCGGCAAUCAUUGUCGAGUUGGGGAGUUUCACAAAGAACUGCAGAAAUUGCCCUGUCAGCCUAUAUACCAUGGACAAGGAAUCAAUAUCGUUUGACCUGGAAAAAGUGGUGUUGCAGGCAAACGGCGGAUCUGGAUCAAAUACAAUAACGCUUUAUGAUCAACAACUGACUGAUAUAGAUUCUGCAUUUUAAUUACAAUGAAAUAAAAAACGUACUUAUGUGUUUUUGAUUGUUUGAAUUUACCUACAUUUACUAUAAUCUAAUGUUUGUGUAUCAAUUCAAAUGUGUUUAAUUAAUUGACAUUAUUGUCUGAUAUACAUGUAGUUAAACUGUCUGUCAUAAAUUGCCAGAAUUAAAACUAGAGCUUUGUCACAGACCUGACGUAUACCACCACAUGCCGAAUUGACACAGACUAAUUUG